rnacentral:rRNA from 1 species
GGGGGGGGGGGGCUACACAUGCAGUCGAACGGCAGCACAGAAGAGCUUGCUCUUUGGGUGGCGAGUGGCGGACGGGUGAGUAAUGUCUGGGAAACUGCCCGAUGGAGGGGGAUAACUACUGGAAACGGUAGCUAAUACCGCAUAACGUCGCAAGACCAAAGUGGGGGACCUUCGGGCCUCACACCAUCGGAUGUGCCCAGAUGGGAUUAGCUAGUAGGUGGGGUAAUGGCUCACCUAGGCGACGAUCCCUAGCUGGUCUGAGAGGAUGACCAGCCACACUGGAACUGAGACACGGUCCAGACUCCUACGGGAGGCAGCAGUGGGGAAUAUUGCACAAUGGGCGCAAGCCUGAUGCAGCCAUGCCGCGUGUAUGAAGAAGGCCUUCGGGUUGUAAAGUACUUUCAGCGGGGAGGAAGGCGGUGAGGUUAAUAACCUUGCCGAUUGACGUUACCCGCAGAAGAAGCACCGGCUAACUCCGUGCCAGCAGCCGCGGUAAUACGGAGGGUGCAAGCGUUAAUCGGAAUUACUGGGCGUAAAGCGCACGCAGGCGGUCUGUUAAGUCAGAUGUGAAAUCCCCGGGCUUAACCUGGGAACUGCAUUUGAAACUGGCAGGCUUGAGUCUCGUAGAGGGGGGUAGAAUUCCAGGUGUAGCGGUGAAAUGCGUAGAGAUCUGGAGGAAUACCGGUGGCGAAGGCGGCCCCCUGGACGAAGACUGACGCUCAGGUGCGAAAGCGUGGGGAGCAAACAGGAUUAGAUACCUUUCGUA